CACGAACGCUGGCGGCAGGCCUAACACAUGCAAGUCGAGCGAAGCCUUCGGGCUUAGCGGCGGACAGGUGAGUAACGCGUGGGAACGUGCCCUUUGCUACGGAAUAGCCCCGGGAAACUGGGAGUAAUACCGUAUGUGCCCUUCGGGGGAAAGAUUUAUCGGCAAAGGAUCGGCCCGCGUUGGAUUAGGUAGUUGGUGGGGUAAUGGCCUACCAAGCCGACGAUCCAUAGCUGGUUUGAGAGGAUGAUCAGCCACACUGGGACUGAGACACGGCCCAGACUCCUACGGGAGGCAGCAGUGGGGAAUCUUAGACAAUGGGGGAACCCCUGAUCUAGCCAUGCCGCGUGAUCGAUGAAGGCCUUAGGGUUGUAAAGAUCUUUCAGUGGGGAAGAUAAUGACUGUACCCACAGAAGAAGCCCCGGCUAACUCCGUGCCAGCCGCCGCGGUAAUAC
rnacentral:rRNA from 1 species